AUGGCUCAGUGAGGCCUUGGGACUGGCUCAGAGAGGUCGGCGACGACCACUCAGAGCCGGAAACUUGGUCAAACUUGGUCAUUUAGAGGAAGUAAAAGUCGUAACAAGGUUUCUGAUUAUCCUUCCGUAGGUGACGCCUUGGAAGCCUUAGCGGCCAGUAAUGGUAGAUACCACAGACGACUCAAAAGAACGGUAUCCAAUCGCUAGUCAUACUCACAUGAUUGAGGAUGGCAACACUGUCAAAUUGCGGGGACUCCCUAAAGCUCUAACUACCAAGCGUUUCCAGGAAACUGGGGCGUGGCCAGGGUAACACCCUCGGGUACGGUCACAACGUUGGAGAUGAUACCUUUUGGAGGUUGAAAUGGGUAAUCUGCAGCCAAGUCCUAACCCUCGACACGCUCGAGACAUGGAUGCUGUUCACAGACUAGAUGGCAGUGGGUGGGUACAAUACCUGCUUAAGAUAUAGUCGGGCCAUUUGAGAAAUCAGAUGGGUAGUCACCAAGACAAGCUCUUAUAAGUAACAAACUGUUCCGUAGGUGAACCUGCGGAAGGAUCAUUACCGAGUAAGGGUUUCUUUCCAAAGAGCCCGAUCUCCCAACCCUUUGUCUACUGAACCAUUUUUAUGAAAACGCCCUCGGUAGGGUUUACCCCCGCCGUUGGCGAAUUCUAAACACUAUUUUUAUCAGUUAAAUCUUAACUAUUAAAAACUUUCAACAACGGAUCUCUUGGUUCUGGCAUCGAUGAAGAACGCAGCGAAAUGCGAUAAGUAAUGCGAAUUGCAGAAUCCGUGAGUCAUCGAAUCUUUGAACGCACAUUGCGCCCUUUGGUAUUCCGAAGGGCAUGCCUGUUCGAGCGUCAUUAUCACCCCUCAAGCCUGGCUUGCUGUUGGACGUUAGCUGACACCCCCGGGUGAGGCUCGCCCCAAAGAUAAUGACGGUGGUCUGUGAGGACACCAGUACACUGAGCCUUUUGGCACGUAUUGUUCUUGAGCCUCCGGCGCCGGUCUCUUAUUACAUUUUUCGUAAGGUUGACCUCGGAUCAGGUAGGGAUACCCGCUGAACUUAAGCAUAUCAAUAAGCGGAGGAAAAGAAACCAACAGGGAUUGCCUUAGUAACGGCGAGUGAAGCGGCAACAGCUCAAAUUUGAAAUCUGUCUUCUUUGGAGACCGAGUUGUAAUUUGUAGAGGAUGUUUCGGGUACGACCUGGGCUUAAAUUUCUUGGAACAGAAUGUCACAGAGGGUGAGAAUCCCGUCUGGAGCUUACGGUACGGCCUAUGUGAAACUCCUUCGACGAGUCGAGUUGUUUGGGAAUGCAGCUCUAAAUGGGUGGUAAAUUUCAUCUAAAGCUAAAUAUUGGCCAGAGACCGAUAGCGCACAAGUAGAGUGAUCGAAAGAUGAAAAGCACUUUGAAAAGAGAGUUAAACAGUAUGUGAAAUUGUUGAAAGGGAAGCGCUGGCAACCAGACUUGAGUGCGGUUUCCCCCUCGCUUUUGCGUGGGUUACUUUUCCGUAUCCAGGCCAACAUCGGUUUUGGGGGUGGGUUAAAGGCCCCAGGAAUGUAUCUACCUCCGGGUAGACUUAUAGCCUGGGGUGGCAUGCCACCUCCCGGGACCGAGGAACGCGCUUUUGCUCGGAUGUUGGCGUAAUGGUUGUCAGCGGCCCGUCUUGAAACACGGACCAAGGAGUCUAACAUCUACGCGAGUGUUUGGGUGUCAAACCCGCACGCGAAAUGAAAGUGAACGGAGGUAGGAAGCCGCAAGGCUGCACUAUCGACCGAUCCUGAUGUCUUCGGAUGGAUUUGAGUAAGAGCGUAGCUGUUGGGACCCGAAAGAUGGUGAACUAUGCCUGAAUAGGGUGAAGCCAGAGGAAACUCUGGUGGAGGCUCGCAGCGGUUCUGACGUGCAAAUCGAUCGUCAAAUUUGGGUAUAGGGGCGAAAGACUAAUCGAACCAUUAGAAGGAGAACUACAUUAAAAAAUACAUUACAACAAGCUAGCUCCAGGUGGUUGUUACUUAAAAGCAGUAGCAAGUGCUUUGUUCUCAGUGCAAGACCGUCAAAUUGCGGGGACCUCCUAAAGCUCUUAGUACUUCCCUUACACCGAAAGGUGUAUGUGGCACCAGGGUAAUGACCUCGGGCACAGUAAAAACCUAAGAGAUGACGCUUAUGUCUUUCAGCGUCGCAAUGGAAAAUCCGCAGCCAAGCCCUAAGGAUAUGUAUGUGUCUACGGGUGCAGUUCACAGACUAAAUGGUGGUCGGUCCUUCGGGACUUAAGAUAUAGUCGGGCCCCCCGCGAAAGUGGGGUGUAUAGACAAAUUCUUUGACGUGAGAACACUAAACUUUAGGCGUCAUUGGACCGAAUCUAUACAGCUUGCUCUGAGCAUGCGGAUAAUAC
rnacentral:rRNA from 1 species